GGAAGCGUCUGGAAAGGCGCGCGAUACAGGGUGACAGCCCCGUACACAAAAAUGCACAUACUGUGAGCUCGAUGAGUAGGGCGGGACACGUGGUAUCCUGUCUGAAUAUGGGGGGACCAUCCUCCAAGGCUAAAUACUCCUGACUGACCGAUAGUGAACCAGUACCGUGAGGGAAAGGCGAAAAGAACCCCGGCGAGGGGAGUGAAAAAGAACCUGAAACCGUGUACGUACAAGCAGUGGGAGCCUCUUAAUGGGGUGACUGCGUACCUUUUGUAUAAUGGGUCAGCGACUUAUAUUCUGUAGCAAGGUUAACCGAAUAGGGGAGCCGAAGGGAAACCGAGUCUUAACUGGGCGUUAAGUUGCAGGGUAUAGACCCGAAACCCGGUGAUCUAGCCAUGGGCAGGUUGAAGGUUGGGUAACACUAACUGGAGGACCGAACCGACUAAUGUUGAAAAAUUAGCGGAUGACUUGUGGCUGGGGGUGAAAGGCCA
rnacentral:rRNA from 1 species